rnacentral:rRNA from 1 species
UACGGAGGGAGCUAGCGUUGUUCGGAAUCACUGGGCGUAAAGCGCACGUAGGCGGCUAUUCAAGUCAGAGGUGAAAGCCCCGGGCUCAACCUGGGAAUGGCAAUGGAUACUGGACAGCUAGAGUGCGGUAGAGGGUAGUGGAAUUCCCGGUGUAGCAGUGAAAUGCGUAGAGAUCGGGAGGAACACCAGUGGCGAAGGCGGCUACCUGGACCAGCACUGACACUGAAGCACGAAAGCGUGGGGAGCAAACAGG